UACGUAGGUGGCAAGCGUUGUCCGGAAUUAUUGGGCGUAAAGCGCGCGCAGGCGGUUCCUUAAGUCUGAUGUGAAAGCCCACGGCUCAACCGUGGAGGGUCAUUGGAAACUGGGGAACUUGAGUGCAGGAGAGAAGAGUGGAAUUCCACGUGUAGCGGUGAAAUGCGUAGAGAUGUGGAGGAACACCAGUGGCGAAGGCGACUUUCUGGUCUGUAACUGACACUGAGGCGCGAAAGCGUGGGGAGCAAACAGG
rnacentral:rRNA from 1 species